GGCCUUUAGAUUAUAAUUUAAGGUCUGACCUGCCCAAUGAUUAUUUUGAAUGGCCGCAGUAUUUUGACUGUGCAAAGGUAGCAUAAUCAUUAGUUUUUUAAUUGAAAGCUUGAAUGAAUGGUUUGAUGAAAAAAUAGCUGUCUCAAUAAAAUUUAUUUAGAAUUUUAAUUUUAAGUGAAAAAGCUUAAAUAUUUUAUGAAGACGAGAAGACCCUAUAGAGUUUAAUAUUAUUUUUAUUUAUUGUUUUAGGUUUAUUUUACAUAUUAAUGUAAAUAGUAUUAUGUUGGGGUGACAGAAAAAUUUAAGUAACUUUUUAUGUUUUAAUACAUUGGUUUAUGGAUUUAUGAUCCUUAUUUUUUGGAUUAUAAGAUUAAAUUACCUUAGGGAUAACAGCGUAAUUUCUUUGGAGAGUUCUUAUCAAUAGAGAAGUUUGCGA
rnacentral:rRNA from 1 species